AGUGAACGCUGGCGGUAGGCCUAACACAUGCAAGUCGAACGGCAGCACAGUAAGAGCUUGCUCUUACGGGUGGCGAGUGGCGGACGGGUGAGGAAUACAUCGGAAUCUACUUUUUCGUGGGGGAUAACGUAGGGAAACUUACGCUAAUACCGCAUACGACCUACGGGUGAAAGCAGGGGAUCUUCGGACCUUGCGCGAUUGAAUGAGCCGAUUUCGGAUUAGCUAGUUGGCGGGGUAAAGGCCCACCAAGGCGACGAUCCGUAGCUGGUCUGAGAGGAUGAUCAGCCACACUGGAACUGAGACACGGUCCAGACUCCUACGGGAGGCAGCAGUGGGGAAUAUUGGACAAUGGGCGCAAGCCUGAUCCAGCCAUACCGCGUGGGUGAAGAAGGCCUUCGGGUUGUAAAGCCCUUUUGUUGGGAAAGAAAAGCAGCAGGUUAAUACCCCGCUGUUCUGACGGUACCCAAAGAAUAAGCACCGGCUAACUUCGUG
rnacentral:rRNA from 1 species